UACAGGGGGUGCAAACGUUGCUCGGAAUCAUUGGGCGUAAAGCGCACGUAGGCGGUCUGUUAUGUCGGAUGUGAAAGCCCUCGGCUCAACUGAGGAAGUGCAUCCGAAACUGGCAGGCUAGAGUACUAAAGAGGGUCGCGGAAUUCCCGGUGUAGAGGUGAAAUUCGUAGAUAUCGGGAGGAACACCGGGGGCGAAGGCGGCGACCUGGGUAGAUACUGACGCUGAGGUGCGAAAGCGUGGGGAGCAAACAGG
rnacentral:rRNA from 1 species